rnacentral:lncRNA from 1 species
UCUAGUGCAUGUGUGUGUGUGUUUAUGUCCCAAUUUAUGUAUGUUUAUAAUGCAUGUUCCACUUACAUUUGGCCUCUGCUUGUUUGCAUAAGAGUAUGUGUGUGUGUGUAUGUGUAAAUAUAAAAGAAUGCAUGCGUGUAUCAUGCAUGUGUGUGGGGAUGUAUGUAUGGAUGGAUGGAUGGAUGUGUAUAAACUAUUAUUUCUUUCUGUUUGCAAAGAUUUAAAAGAAAAAGAAAAAAAGAACUGAGAAAACAAUUACUAAAAUGAAAGAUUAAAAAAAUGUUUAAAAGAAAAGAAAACAAAACAAAAGCAAACAAAUAAAAAAAAUAAUAAAUAAACAAACUGUGAAACAAAACAGAGGAAAGAAGAUUCUAGUGACUCUUGUAAUUCCAAUGAAGCAAUCGAAGAACUUUUUCCAGAAUUUUUGGCUGAAAGCCGUCUGCUCUUUUGCCAAAAUAUCUAUAAACCUGCCAGCAACUUGAGGUCUUCAAACAGUCAAAAACGGACGGCCUGUUUCUUUUCUUCUCUCUCCUCUCCUCCCACUCUCUCUCUAUUUCUAUCUGCUCCCAUCUCUCUCUCUCUCUCUCUCUCUCUCUCUCUCUUCUUGUAUCUCUAUCCCUUUAUCAAUCUCUCUCUCUCUCUUUUCUUUUCUCUCUGUAUAAUUGUGUGUAUCUCUCUCUCUCUCUCUCUCUCUCUCUCUCUCUGUAUUUUCUUUCUACCUGUUUUGUCUUUCUCUAUGUUGCAAAUGUGCGCCCUUCACAUUUUCAGUGUUAUUCAUGCAUGCAUUUCUAAAUCUCUGUGUGUGUGUGUAUAUAUAUACAUACAUACAUACAUACAUACAUAUAUAUAUAUAUAUAUAUAUAUAUAUAUAUAUAUAUAUAUACAUAUAUAUAUACAUACAUACAUAUAUAUGUAUAUAUACAUACAUGCAUACAUACAUAUCUAUAUAUAUAUACAUACAUAUGUUGGUGUGCAUGUGUGUGUGUGUACACCUGUACAUACAUACAUAUGUGUGGGUGUGUGUGAGUGCACACACAUAUAUAUAAUAUGUUUGUGUGUCAUACAUGUCUUUAUAUUUAUGCUAUACAUACUGUAUGUAUGUUUAUAUAAACCAUACAUAUACCAUAUAUAUAUAUAUAUACACACACACACUACACAUACACAUAAAUUUAUGUAUGUAUAGAGACACAUAUAUAGACAUGAAUGUCUACAUACAAUCUCCAGCUGCUGUGUAUAGUGUAUCUGUGCAAGUGUCUCUCUCUGUUCUGCUCAGUCAGCACAGAAGGACAUUGCUAUUAGUAUUCCUGUUAGUUAACCGAAAUAUUGAGAUUGCGAAAUAUGUUUUUGGUUGCAUAUUCAUCUGUACCUCAUUCUAUAUUUCUUGCCAUUUCCUCACAAUUACUUCCUUUAUGUGUAUUUUACAUACAUACAUACACUCAUACACACAUUAAUAUGGAAGUGUAUAUAUAUAUAUAUAUAUAUAUAUAUAUAUGCACACAUAUGCAUAUGCAUUCCCCACAAUAAAAGCAUUGCAAGUUUUGUUGCAGUGUAUAUUUCCAUGUGUGUAUACACACACACACACAGACAUGCAUAUGCGUGUGUAUAUGUAUAUGUGCAUGUUUUAUUCCAUAUUUCAGUUCUUAUUCUUUGUUUUGUUCUAUUUUUGUUUUCUUUAUCAUCUUCAUCAUUAUAAUUAUUAUUAGUAUUAUUAUUGUUAUUAUAAUUAUUAUUAAUAUUAUGGCGAGCUGGCAGAAACAUUAGCACGCCAGGCAAAAUGCUUAGCUGUAUUUCGUCUAUCUUUAAUGUUCUGAGUUCAAAUUCUGCUGAGGUCGACUUUGCCUUUCAUCCUUUCAAGGUCGAUAAAUUAAGUACCCCAAAAUUUUGGUCCUUGUGCCUUUAGUAGAAAGGAUUAUUAUCAUUAUUAUUAUUAUUAUAAACUUUUUUUAGGUGAACAGAAACAGUUGCACUCAAAUGGGGUUUUGACUUUUUAAAUUUAUUUAUAUAUCUAUUUUUUUUUUGUUUUUUUUUUUGUUAUCAUAGAGAAGAACUCUAAGGGAAAGUCUAACAGAAUUUAACUUUUGGUGUGUGUGUGUGUAUGUGUGGAGGGGGGGAUUAAUGGGUGGCUGGGUUUUUAUGUGUUUUUGUGUCACUAUACUCCAUCAUAUUGCCCCCAGCAUGUUGCGUGGCUUCUCUGAAUUCUUCCAUUCCAUUUGGCAUUCUUUGAGUGUGUGUACGUUGAGCUGGAUUUAAUAAUGCACUCUUAAUUUGUGGAGCCCCCUUCAGAGAAAUUAUGCUCUGAGAAAGGAGAUGAUAGCCAUGCUAUGUUGUUCUCUUCUUCUGAUUAAAUUCCUUAAGAUAUUUCAAAAGACAUUCUUGAGCUUCCUUUUCCGUUUUUUUUUCUUUUUUUUUUAAAGUUAUUUUGUUGUUUUUGAGGGUCUAGGGUUAUUUUUGCUUUUUUAUGUUUUUAAAAUUGAAUUCUUACCUUGGAUUUUUAUGCCAAGAUUAUAAUUUGUUAUUAUUAUUAUUAUUAUUAUUAUUAGGGUGGUGAGCUGGCGGAAUCAUUAGCACGCUGGACAAAAUGCUUAGCAGUAUUUUGCCUGUCACUGCAUUCCAAGUUCAAAUUCUGCCAAGGUCGAUUUUGCCUUUCAUCCUUUCAAGGUCGAUAAGUUAAGUACCAGUGAAACACUGGGGUUGAUGUAAUCAACUAGUCCCCCCCACCUGCCCGACACCUAAUUUCAGGCCUUGUGCCUUUAGUAGAAAAGAUUAUUAUUAUUAAGGCGGUGAGCUGCAAGAAUCUUUAGCACGCUGGAUGAAAUGCUUAGUGGUAUUUUAGCCAUCGCUACGUUCUGAGUUCAAAUUCCACCAAGGUAGACUUUUCCUUUCAUCCUUUCAGGGUCGAUAAAAUAAGUACCAGUGAAACACUGGGGUCGAUGUAAUCAACUUAUCCCCACCUCCCCCAAGCUGCCCUUGUGGCAGAAAUUUGAAUUAUCAUUAUUAUUAUUAUUAUUAUUAUUAUCGUUUUUUAUGAAAGCAGGUCAAAAGAAUAAGACACUGAGAAAAAGUACCUUGUGGUAUUUGCAUCACUUUACAUUCUCUAUUGUCAAAGACCCUACUAGCCUAAACUUCACUAUUUUUCUUCCCUCCCGUAUUGAUGAAGUAGAUAGCCAUCAUAUAUUGGGGGGGAGCGGGUCAAUAAGCUGAACAUGCAUCUCCACUUGAAUUUUUUUUCAUCGUACGAUGGAGGUGGUUGCUACUAUUAUUCUGGUUAUUAUUAUUAUUAAUAAUAAGGUGUGCUGAGCUGGAGGAACCGUUAGCAACACCAAGAUUUAAAUGCUUAGCAACAUUUCAUCCGUCUUGACAUUCUGAUUUCAAAUUUUGUUGAGGCCACCUUUGCCUGGGGUUGAUAAAAUAAAUGCCAUUUGAGUACUGGGGAUCAGUGAAAUCGACUUACCCCCUCCCCUGAUCUUGCUGGCCUUGUGCCAAAAGUUGAAAUCAUUAUUAUUAUUAUUAUUAUUAUUAUGUGAGUUCAAAUUCCACUGAGGUUGACUUUGCUUUUCAGCCUUUCGGGGUAGAUAAAUUAAGUACCAGUUGUGUAAUGGGAUUGAUCUAAUCAACUGGUCUCCUCACCCAAAAUUUCAGGCCUUGUGCCUAUAGUAGAAAAGAUUAUUAUCUUUAUUAUGAUAAAGUGACUAAACAUCCUCUGAAGUCCACAGGCUGGUUUUAGAUUAAAUAGCCCACAAUUUCAUUGUCUUCCACAUUCAGAGUAGGGCAGCAGAAGCAGGUGGUUGAUGGAGAGAAUAACUUGAGAUUGAAAGCAACGCAUUAUGGUGCAUCUUGUUCUGGCUACUGGAUCGAGGUUAGCAUGUUACAUGCGUCAACGUCCCCUUUUCUUCCUUCAAAUAUUGGCGGGUGUCCUGGGAUCCCAAUUUCAUUCUUCUGAAAUAAUGUGUAUAGUUAAAGGGAGCAAUCGCCAGGUCUACUUUGCCUUUCAUCCUUUCGGGGGUUCGAUAAAAUAAAAAAAGUUGAGUACUGGAGUUGAUGUAAUCAACUAGACCCCAACCCCACCCCAUAUCUCAAGUCUUGUGUCUAUUAUAAGUGGGGGGGGAUUAUUAUCAUAUGCAUGGUAGUGCAUGCUAAUUUGGUUAGCAGGUAUCCUAUCUUGAAGCUUGCUGACAACAAGUCUCCUCAAGUCUCAAGAAUGCUCCUUAAGAUUCUUACAGAAUAUAAGAUGGUAAUUUUCUGCAAGUCUGUUAUUAUUAUUAUUACUAUUAUUAUUAAGGCGGCGAGCUGGCAGAGUUGUUGGCACACUGGGUGAGAUGCUUGGUGGUAUUUUGUCUGUCUUUGCAUUUUGAGUUCAGAUUCCUCCGAGGUCGACUUUGCUGGAGGCAAUGAAAUAAAUAACCAGUGAUACACUGGGUCAAUGAAAUUGAUUAGUCCCCUCCCCCAAAAUUUCAGGUCUUGUGUCUUUAAUAGACAGGAUUAUUAUUAUUAUUAUUAUUGUUACCUAUUUCUUUACUACCCACAAGGGGCUAAACACAGAGAGGACAAACGGAUUAAGUCGAUUAUAUCGAUCCCAGUGCAUAACUGGUACUUAUUUAAUCGACCCCGAAAGCAUGAAAGGCAAAGUCGACCUCGGCGGAAUUUGAACUCAGAACAUAGCGGCAGACGAAAUACCGCUAAGUAUUUCGCCCGGCAAACUAACGUUUCUACUAGCUUGCUGCCUUAUUAUUAUUAUUAAGGCAGCGAGCUGGCAGAAUCGUUAGCACGCCGGGAAAAAAUGCUUAGUGGCAUUUCGUCCGUGUGUGCGUUCUGAGUUCAAAUUACGCCAAGGUCGACUUUGCCUUUCAUCCUUUCGGGGUCAAAAAAUUAAGUACCAGUGAAGCACUGGGGUCGAUGUAAUCGACUAGUCCCCUCCCACCAAAUUUCAGGCCUUGUGCCUUUAGAAGAAAGGAUUAUUAUUGGUAGAAUUGUUUGUAUUUUGCACAAAAUGCCUUGUGGUAUUUGUUCCGUGUCUUUAAAUUCUAAGUUCUGAUCCUUUGGUGGGUGGGUUAACUUUAGCUUUCAUCUUUUCCGGGUAGAUAAAAUAAGUACCAGUCAUGUUCUGGGGUAGAUGUAACUGACCAAUCCCGGCCCCUUAAAGUUGCUGGCCUCAUUCCAAAAUUAGUAUCCUUUAUUAAACAUUUCAGUGGUGGAAAACGUCUGCUGAGAAGCAAUUCAGAGCCUUAGAAGCUCGCUGUUUCAGUAUCAUCUUUGAGUUAUCUCCGAGUCUCGCCUGGGAUUGGCUUUGCUUCAUCCUUCAAAAACUUCCUAACAUUUAUCAAAAUAAUCAGUAUGAAAACUGAAAACCAUUUCAAUCAUGAACUGUACUGCUUCUUUAAAACAUAAUAUUCAUCCCUCUCAUCUAAGAAAUCGUGUUCUCGUCAAAAUUUGCCAGCCUUCUACCUAAAUUAGAGAUCAUUACUUUCAGUCUAGGUCGACUUUGCUUGUCAUCCUUUUGGGGUGGAUGAAAAUAAGUACCCGUUGAGCACUGCAGCUCAAUGUAAUCGACUAGCCUGCACCCCCUUCUCCUCCAAAAUUUCAGGCCUUGCUCCUAAAUUAAAAAGUAUUAUUAUUUUUAUUCAGACGGCGAGCUGGCAGAAACGUUAGCACGCCGAGCGAAAUGCCUAGCGGUAUUUCGUCUGCCGCUACGUUCUGAGUUCAAAUUCCAAGGUCGACUUUGCCUUUCAUCCUUUCGGGGUCGAUUAAAUAAGUACCAGUUACGACUUAAUCCGUUUGUCUGUCCUUGUUCGUCCUUUCUGUGUUUAGCCCCUUGUGGGUAGUAAAGAAAUAGGUAUUUCGCCAGUUGCUAUGUUCUGAGUUCAAAUUCCGCCGAGGUCAACUUUGCCUUUCAUCCUCGAUAAAUUAAGUACCAGUGAUACACUGGGGUCGAUGUAAUCGACUUGUCUCCUUCCCCAUAUUUCAGGCCUUGUGCUUUUAGUAAAAAGGAUUAUUAUUAUUAUUAUUAUUGAUAAGGCGGUGAGCUGGCAGAAUCGUUAGCACGGUGGAGAAAAUGCUUAGCAACAUUUCGUCCGUUUUUACAUUCUGCGUUCAAAUUCCGCCGAGGUCGACUUUGCCUUUGAUCCUUUCGGGGUCGAUAGAUUAAGUACCAGUUACGUACUGGGGUCGAUUUAAUCGACUUAGCCCCCUCCCGCAAAAUGGCUCCCCUUGUGGAAAAAAUUGGAUACCAUCAUUAUUAUUAUUAUUAUUAUUAUCAUUAUUGAUCAGCAGAAUUGUUAGUAGGGUUGAGAGAAUCCGAAGAGGGACUUAGAUAAUAGGUAGAUCGACUGACAGAAUGGUAUGGUAGCGGGACCGAGACAAUUGGUAGACCAACUGACUGCAGAAUCGGAUGAGCGACUGACAAUCGGUGAAGAGAGAGCUUGAUAGAAAAUUUACUAAGACUGGCAAGAAGAAUUGUUAAACUGACGGACACUUUAGGUAGAGUGACUGGUGACAGCCUCACUAGAACAACAUGCAGAAUGUCUUGGAGCAUAGAGCUACGUCCAUUUCCCUUUCAUGUGUUCACAUCCUGCGUAGGUGGACUUGACUCUCCGUUCUAUUAGAGAGAGGAGUAAAGUAUCAGUGAAGUACCAGGGUCGAUAUAAUCGCUUGUUUCUCCUCCCAAGUACACCUGGCCUUAUGCCGAGAGUAGGACUACUAAUAAUAAUAGUAAUAAUAGUUUCAAAUUUUGGUGCAAGGCCAGCAAUUUGGGAGUAGUGUGGGUGAGUCGAAUACGUCGAUCCCAGUACUCAAACUGACACUUAUUUUAUUGAUCCCGAAAGGAUGAAAGGCAAGGAAGACCUCGGCGGAAUUUGAACUCAGAAUGCACAAAAACGUCACGAUAGACUAAAUACCGCUAAGCACUUUAUCCGGCAUGUUAACGAUUAUGCCAGCUCACCGCCUUGAAUAAUAAUAAUAAUAAUAAUUCUCUUUUACUUGUUUCAGUCAUUUGACUGCGGCCAUGCUGGAGUACCGCCUUUAGUCGAGGAAAUCAUUCUUUGUAAGCCUAGUACUUAUUCUAUCGGUCUCUUUUGCCGAACCACUAUGUUACGGGGAUGCAAACACACCAGCAUCAGUUGUCAAGCGAUGUUGGGAGGACAAACACAAACACACAAACAUAUACACAUACACAUAUAUACGAUGGGCUUCUUUCAGUUAUCGUCUACCAAGUUCACUCACAAGGCUUUGGUCGGCCCGAGGCUAUAAUAGAAGACACUUGCCCAAGGUGCCACGCAGUGGGACUGAACCCAGAACCGCAUGGUUGGUAUGAAUAAUAAUAAUAAGAAGAAGAAGCUAUUAUUAUUAAGGUGGCGAGCUGUCAGAAUCGUUAGCACCCGAGGCAAAAUACUUAGCGGUAUCUUUUCCGGCUUUACCCGCCGAGGUCGAUUUUGCCUUUCAUCUUGAGGGCCGAUAAAAUUAAAUACUAGUCAAGUACUGCAGACGAUGUAAUCGACUAGCCUCUUGGCACCCCACCCCCUGCCCAAAAUAAAAAUAAAAUUGGCCUUGUGCGAUAGAAAAGAUUAUUAUUGCUCAGGUGACGAGCUGGCAGAAUCGUUAGCACGCCUGGAAAAAAUGCUUAGCUAGAUUUCGUCCGUCUUUACGUUCUGAGUUCAAAUUCCGCCGAGGUCAUCCUUUCAGGGUCGAUAAAUUAAGUACCAGUCAAGUACUGGUGUUGAUAUUAUCGACUUAGCCCCUCCCCACAAAUUUCAGGCCUUGUGCCUUUAGUAGAAAAGAUUAUUAUUAACCACUUUAGUACAACCUUUCCUCCCCACAAAAUCAAAGCCAUUGUGCAUCAGCUAGACGUCCUCAUAAGUAUUAUCAUUAUAAUUAUAAUAAUUAUUAUUAUUUUCAUUAAUUGUAUUAUCAUCAACAUCAUCUUCAUCAUUGUUAUUGUUAUGUUUGUUUUUACUCUGUCUCAUUUUUUUUAUAUAAUUCUUUAUAUUUUUUGUUGUUGCCUUUGAAAUCAGGAACUCUCUCUCUCUCUCUCUCUCUCUCCCUCUUUGUCUUCUUGCUCCUCUACUCCUCUCCCCCCUCUCUCUCCUACUGUGUAUGUCUUGUUCUUUUCUUCACUUUCCUCUUAUCUUUCUCUAUCUCUCUUCUCUCCAUCCAUUGAAUAUAUUUUUUACUGUACAGACUUGAAAAUAAUUAGUGAAAAAGUAAAAAAAAAAAAUAAAUAAUUAAUAAUAAUA